UAAGGAGCUUACGAUGAUAGCUAUUUAGAAUUAUACUUAAAACUGUAUGGUAGUGGAUGUUCUAAGAUAGUACAGUACACCAUAAAAGAACAAUCUUAUAAGGCAAAGAACAAUCUCAUGGUUGACUACAUAACACAGAUUAAUUGGUGAAAGAUCAGGAUAACUAUUCAUAUACAUACAUACUAGCUGCCUACUUGAGCAUGCAUGCGCUGAAACUAUAAGGAAGAGGAAAUGAAAUGGUGAUUUUCAACCUCGGGUUCUCAAUGCAUCAGAGCUUUUUGGAGCUUCUUGUUGUUAUUGUUGCAGUUCUGGAUCUUCUGAUGCAUGG